rnacentral:rRNA from 1 species
GAUGAACGCUGGCGGCGUGCCUAAUACAUGCAAGUCGAGCGAACAGAUAAGGAGUUUCCCCUUUUGACGUUAGGGGCGGACGGGUGAGUAACAUGUGGGUAACUCCCCUAUAAGACUGGAACAACUCGGGGAAACCGGGGCUAAUGCCGGAUAACUUUUAGAACCGGAUGGUUCCAAUGGGAAAUAUGGUUUUGCUAUCACUUAUAGAUGGACCCGCGCCGUAUUAGCUAGUUGGCAAGGUAACGGCUUACCAAGGCAACGAUCCGUAGCGGACCUGAGAGGGUGAUCGGCCACACUGGAACUGAGACACGGUCCAGACUCCUACGGGAGGCAGCAGUAGGGAAUCUUCCGCAAUGGGCGAAAGCCUGACGCAGCAACGCCGCGUGAGUGAUGAAGGUCUUCGGAUCGUAAAACUCUGUUAUUAGGGAAGAACAAAUGUGUAAGUAACUGUGCACGUCUUGACGGUACCUGAUCAGAAAGCCACGGCUAACUACGUG